rnacentral:rRNA from 1 species
GAUGAACGCUGGCGGCGUGCCUCAAACAUGCAAGUCGAGCGGGGCUAUGUAAUAUCGCAAGGUAGAACAUAGCCUAGCGGCGAACGGGUGAGUAACACGUGGGUAACCUGCCUGGAAGACAGGGAUAACGAUUCGAAAGGGUCGCUAAUACCUGAUAAUAUCCUUUCAUCGCAUGGUGAUAGGAAGAAAGGGGAAACCCGCUUUCAGAUGGGCCCGCGUCCCAUCAGCUAGUUGGUAAGGUAAAGGCUUACCAAGGCGACGACGGGUAGCCGGUCUGAGAGGAUGUACGGCCACACUGGGACUGGGAUACGGCCCAGACUCCUACGGGAGGCAGCAGUUGGGAAUCUUAGGCAAUGGACGAAAGUCUGACCUAGCGACGCCGCGUGAGGGAAGAAGGCCUUCGGGUUGUAACCUACUGUCAUGGGGGAAGAAGGUAAGUGACGGUACCCAAGAGGAAGCCCCUGCUAACUACGUG